CCUACGGGGGGCUGCAGUGAGGAAUAUUGGUCAAUGGACGCAAGUCUGAACCAGCCAAGUAGCGUGAAGGAUGACUGCCCUAUGGGUUGUAAACUUCUUUUAUAUGGGAAUAAAAUGUUCCACGUGUGGGAUUUUGUAUGUACCAUAUGAAUAAGGAUCGGCUAACUCCGUGCCAGCAGCCGCGGUAAUACGGAGGAUCCGAGCGUUAUCCGGAUUUAUUGGGUUUAAAGGGAGCGUAGGUGGAUUGUUAAGUCAGUUGUGAAAGUUUGGGGCUCAACCGUAAAAGUGCAGUUGAAACUGGCAGUCUUGAGUACAGUAGAGGUGGGCGGAAUUCGUGGUGUAGCGGUGAAAUGCUUAGAUAUCACGAAGAACUCCGAUUGCGAAGGCAGUUCACUGGACUGCAACUGACACUGAGGCUCGAAAGUGUGGGUAUCAAACAGGAUUAGAUACCCGGGUAGUC
rnacentral:rRNA from 1 species